GGUGAACGCUGGCGGCGUGCCUAAUACAUGCAAGUCGAACGAAACUUCUUUAUCACCGAGUGCUUGCACUCACCGAUAAAGAGUUGAGUGGCGAACGGGUGAGUAACACGUGGGCAGCCUGCCCAAAAGAGGGGGAUAACACUUGGAAACAGGUGCUAAUACCGCAUAACCAUAGUUACCGCAUGGUAACUAUGUAAAAGGUGGCUAUACUACCGCUUUUGGAUGGGCCCGCGGCGCAUUAGCUAGUUGGUAGGGUAAAGGCUUACCAAGGCAAUGAUGCGUAGCCGAAUUGAGAGGUUGAUCGGCCACAUUGGGACUGAGACACGGCCCAAACUCCUACGGGAGGCAGCAGUAGGGAAUCUUCCACAAUGGGCGAAAGCCUGAUGGAGCAACGCCGCGUGGGUGAAGAAGGUCUUCGGAUCGUAAAACCCUGUUGUUAGAGAAGAAAGUGCGUGAGAGUAACUGUUCACGUUUCGACGGUAUCUAACCAGAAAGCCACUGCUAACUACGUG
rnacentral:rRNA from 1 species